rnacentral:rRNA from 1 species
UACAACGCACUACCUGUUCAUAGUAGUCGUUGCUGUCAACAGCACACUGCUCACCAUCAACGCAGGGGACUACAUCUUCUACACAGACUGGGCUUGGACGUCCUUCGUUGUUUUCUCGUUGUCGCCGCCGCCAUUGCUCUCUCUCUGCUCAUUUUCCUCCUCGUUAUUCACUGCUGUUCCUGUCCCCGCACUCUUUACUGCACCUUCCAUAGUCCACUACCCUUUCGCUCCAAUUGCCCACUGUGUUUUCCUUGGUUACUCAUCUCCCUCGCCUGUGAGCGACACGACGCAACAAGAGCGCUGCCAUACUGAUUGGAGGUACGCUGGUUGGCCUAUCCUUCCCGCUGUUCAACAUGGUCAACCUGUUGCUUGUAAGGGACCCGCUCGAGGUGGCCUUAAAGUCUCCGAGACCGACUCUGCCCGCGUACAUGACGCCUAUAGAGCCUCAGGUAGGGAAGUUCUACAACUCGCCUGUCGCCCUGGGUUCAGGUGCCGGUGCAGUGCUAACGGUACCCAUCGCUGCGUUGGGUGCAAAACUAAACACGUGG